rnacentral:rRNA from 1 species
GUGUCAGCAGCCGCGGUAAGACGAACCACACAAACGUUAUUCGGAAUUACUGGGCUUAAAGGGUGCGUAGGCGGCGCGGAAAGUAGGGUGUGAAAUCCCUCGGCUCAACCGAGGAAUUGCGCCCUAAACUACCGUGCUCGAGGGAGAUAGAGGUGAGCGGAACUUAGGGUGGAGCGGUGAAAUGCGUUGAUAUCCUAAGGAACACCGGUGGCGAAAGCGGCUCACUGGAUCUCUUCUGACGCUGAGGCACGAAAGCUAGGGUAGCGAACGGGAUUAGAUACCCCGGUAGUCCUAGCCGUAAACGAUGAGCACUGGAUUGGAGGCUCCUCCAUAGGCUUCCAGUCGCAGCGAAAGUGUUAAGUGCUCCGCCUGGGGAGUAUGGUCGCAAGGCUGAA